UUGGGUGACCUGCGGAGGGAUCAUUACCGAGUUUUCUACUCUCAAACCCUGCGAACCUACCGUCAUGUGCUUCGGCGGGCCUCCCCGGGGGGGCUCAGUACGGCUCGCCGAAAGCACCAAAAUUCACUUUCCAGAGUCUUCUGAGUGGAUUACAAAAACAAGUCAAAACCUUCAACAACGGAUCUCUUGGUUCUGGCAUCGAUGAAGAACGCAGCGAAAUGCGAUACGUAAUGUGAAUUGCAGAAUUCCGUGAAUCAUCGAAUCUUUGAACGCACAUUGCACCCGGUGGUAUUCCGCCGGGUAUGCCUGUCUGAGCGUCAUUUCAACCCUCAAGCUCUGCUUGGUGUUGGCGGAUCGCCCACCGUGGCGACCGCUAAAAUUCAAUGGCGGUAGUACCCAUAACCCCUGUAGAGUAAAUAUUCUUACAGAGGGUCUACGGGCCUCACCAGCCUCGAACCCACCAAAACAUGAAAGUUGACCUCAGAUCAGGUAGGAAUACCCGCUGAACUUAAGCAUAUCAAUAAGCGGAGGA
rnacentral:rRNA from 1 species